AGUCCCCUGCGCUGUUUGCAAAGGCACAAAUUCCUUUGAACCAAUAAUCGCAGACUGGUUUCUGGCUUGAUUUGUACCUGCGUGUCGCGCUGCCUAGUUCAGUGCGCCCAAAGUACAACGUCGGGAACCACAUUGAACCUUAGGUUCAAGCGAAUCAGCCGGCGCGGCAAUCGCGGGGGACUU
rnacentral:other from 1 species